CAGUCGUACCGGUGGGUAAUCAGCCUUUCGGCGUGAUUAUGUGGAGCGUGAGGAGUUAAACGCCCUCAUGCCUGCAUAUUCGUGUUCUUUGGGUGUACUUACCCGCAUGGUAGGUUAACAUCAAUUUCGAACGUCAUAAAAUGGUUGGAGGAAUGUAGCUUCGAUCUCGUAUUGAAGUGUUAUAGCCUCCGGCAGAUGUGAUGAUCGGGAUUGAGGAUUGCAACGGAUACCCUUCGGGGCUACCCGUCUGAUCUCUGAAAGUUACUCUGGUGCCGAAAGCUCGCUUACGGUCAUCAAAUGUUGACGUUCAAUCACGGUUAGAAGCGGGAUAAA
rnacentral:rRNA from 1 species